GUGGGGAAUUUUGGACAAUGGGCGCAAGCCUGAUCCAGCAAUGCCGCGUGCAGGAAGAAGGCCUUCGGGUUGUAAACUGCUUUUGUACGGAACGAAACGGUCCGGGUUAAUACCCUGGGCUAAUGACGGUACCGUAAGAAUAAGCACCGGCUAACUACGUGCCAGCAGCCGCGGUAAUACGUAGGGUGCCAGCGUUAAUCGGAAUUACUGGGCGUAAAGCGUGCGCAGGCGGUUUUGUAAGACAGGCGUGAACGCCCCGGGCUCAACCUGGGAAUUGCGCUUGUGACUGCAAGGCUGGAGUGCGGCAGAGAGGGAUGGAAUUCCGCGUGUAGCAGUGAAAUGCGUAGAUAUGCGGAGGAACACCGAUGGCGAAGGCAAUCCCCUGGACCUGUACUGACGCUCAUGCACGAAAGCAUGGGGAGCAAACAGGAUUAGAAACCCGAGUAGUCC
rnacentral:rRNA from 1 species